UAGUCCACGCCGUAAACGAUGGAUACUAGCUGUCCGCUGCCUUGAGCAGUGGGCGGCCAAGCGAAAGUGAUAAGUAUCCCACCUGGGGAGUACGUUCGCAAGAAUGAAACUCAAAGGAAUUGACGGGGGCCCGCACAAGCGGUGGAGCAUGUGGUUUAAUUCGAUGAUACGCGAGGAACCUUACCAGGGCUUAAAUGCAUAUUGACAGGCUGAGAGAUCGGUUUUCCUUCGGGCAAUUUGCAAGGUGCUGCAUGGUUGUCGUCAGCUCGUGCCGUGAGGUGUCAGGUUAAGUCCUAUAACGAGCGCAACCCCUGUCGUUAGUUGCCAGCGAGUCAUGUCGGGGACUCUAACGAGACUGCCAGUGCAAACCGUGAGGAAGGUGGGGAUGACGUCAAAUCAUCACGGCCCUUACGUCCUGGGCUACACACGUGCUACAAUGGUAGGGACAGAGAGCAGCCACUGGGCGACCAGGAGCGAAUCUAUAAACCCU
rnacentral:rRNA from 1 species